GUUAGCUUCCAAAAGGAACAGGGAAAAGUUGCAAGCACAUGUGAGCAUGUGUGUGAACCGGUGCAGAGCGUCUGCCUUAGCGUGAGUGUUUAUUUGCGUACAUGACCAGGGGUGUGCCUCCAUCAGAAUAUAAAGGAACUGAGGAGUGAAAUAAGGAUUAAGGGCUAAGAGAAAAUUGAGUAUCUCGGAUACUGAUACUGAGCUCUAUUUCUUCAUCGCUUCUUUGGCAUCUGUCAUCAAAUAGCAAUAUGGCAGAAGAACAAAAGUUGUCAGAAACAUCUGUCCAGCUGACUGAGGCCGCUCCACAGACUAUGGGCAGUGGUUUUACUGCCCCAGGAAGCAUUUAUUCAGCCAUUUUAAGCCGCAACGACGCUGUUAAAGAUGCUAGGCGUCUCAAGGACUUUCAGGAGCUCAGAGACAAAUAUGUACUUAAGAAAGUGCUGUUUGAAGACCCGUUGUUCCCUGCCCAAGAUUCCUCUCUCUUUUACAGUGAAAAGUUCCCUCUAAAGCUUGAAUGGAAGCGCCCGUCGGAUAUCUGUAGCAAUCCACAGUUCAUUCUUGGGGGAGCCAACAGGACAGAUAUCUGCCAAGGAGACCUGGGAGACUGCUGGCUGCUGGCUGCCAUUGCUUGCCUGACCCUUAAUGAUGUAGUUCUGACGAGGGUGGUUCCGCAUGACCAGAGCUUCACUGAAAACUAUGCUGGCAUUUUCCAUUUCCAGUUCUGGCGCUAUGGAGAGUGGGUGGAUGUGGUUGUGGAUGAUCGACUUCCUACAUACAGAAACCAGUUAGUGUUCACCAGGUCUGGACAGAAGAAUGAAUUUUGGAGUGCUCUUCUGGAGAAGGCAUAUGCAAAACUACACGGCUCUUAUGAGGCUUUAAAGGGAGGAAACUCACUGGAAGCCAUGGAGGACUUCACUGGAGGAUUAACAGAGUUCUAUGAGAUUACAGAGGCCCCGAAGGAGCUCUACAACAUCAUGAGAAAGGCUCUGAAGAGAGGGUCCCUCAUGAGCUGUGCCAUUGAUGUUUUGGUUCCAACUGCUCAAAGGACUAAAACAGCAUCUGGACUUGUGACAGGCCAUGCAUAUUCAAUCACUGGCGUUGAGCAGGGUAAACGCAAGGAUGGAAAAGACCUAAUGAUCCGUCUGGUUCGUGUGCGAGACCCCUGGGGAGUUGCCCCCCCUCCUGCCUGUAAGUCUAAUGACUGGGUUGCACUAGCCACAUCUGAGCAAGACAAGGAGAGACUCAGACCUACAGAGCAAGGGGAGUUCUGGAUGUGCUUUGAAGAAUUUAAGAAGAACUUCACCAAACUGGAGAUCUGUAAUCUCACCCCAGACACUCUUGAGGAUGACCAGAUGCUCAAGUGGAAUGUGACCAUACAUGAGGGCCGAUGGGUGAAAGGCUGCUCUGCUGGUGGCUGCAGAAACUUUCCAGAAACAUACUGGACAAACCCUCAGUUCCACCUGGUUCUUCUGGAGGCGGACACUAAAGAGAAGACCUGCACUGUGGUGGUGGCAUUAAUGCAGAAGGGCAGAAGAAAAGAGCGCAGCUCAGGUGCCACCCUACACAACAUUGGGUUCGCCAUCUAUGAGGUUCCUAAAGAGAUGAAGGGCAACCAACAACAGCUGCAAAAGGAUUUCUUCCUAUAUAAUGCUUCCACAGCUCGCUGCAAGUCUUACGUCAACAUGCGUGAGGUGACGGAGCGCUUCUGCCUGAAACCGGGCGAGUAUGUCAUCAUUCCAUCCACCUUCGAUCCCCACAAGGAAAGCGAGUUUCUGCUCAGAGUCUUCUCUGAGAGCAGGAGCAGCUCAGAGGUUAUAGAUGGAGAGAUUGAGGUGGAGCCUGUGACGGAUGUCAAGAAGAAAAUCAAGCCAUUUGAGGAGGAGGAGACUGAAGAGGAAAAGCAGUUCAGAGCCAUCUUUCAGCAGAUGGCUGGAGAUGACAUGCAGAUUAAUGCCAAUGAACUUAGAACUGUCCUUAACAGAGUGGUAACCAAACAUAAAGAGUUGAAAACAGAGGGUUUCUGUCUAGAGAGCUGCAGAAGUAUGAUUGCACUUAUGGAUACUGAUGGGACAGGCCACCUAAACCUGCAAGAGUUUAAACACUUAUGGAACAAGAUUAAAAAGUGGAAGCUGGUGUUCACACGUUAUGACACAGACAAAUCCAGUACGAUCAGCAGUUUUGAGAUGAGGAAUGCUCUUACUGAAACAGGUUUUCAACUCAACAAUCAGCUGUAUGACAUCAUUUGUAUGCGAUACGCCAAUGAACACAUGGAGUUGGAUUUCGACAGCUACAUUAGCUGCUUAGUGCGACUCGAGGGAAUGUUCAGUAAGUGUGAUAGUAUUUUCUGUUCAGACAUAUUUUUCUUCUAAAACUUUGUAGCGAUUGGAUAGAUGUAGUGAAAGACAUUCUUCUACAGGGGCAUUCAGAGCCUUUGACAGGGAUGGAGAUGGCAUUAUCAAACUCAAUGUUUUUGAGUGGCUUCAACUGACCAUGUAUGCCUAAAGACACAAACACAGAUGCCUGGUGGAAGCCUGGUGGAAAGCAAGUGGUCUUUUCCCAUUUUCAACUUCCAUUAAGUGGAGAAAGGUCUGGAUUCAAAUCAAUUGUACUGUACACCACUGCAGCUUCUUUCUUCAGCAAAUGCUGGUCUAGAACAAACUGGAUUGAUUAUGAGCUACUGAACGGACCAUGACGGCUCAUUUAUGUCUUGUAAAAAGCACUUAUUUGGUUGAGUAUCCCUUUAAGGUGACAGAAUGUUGUCAAAUUAAAUGUCAUGCCUAAAACGACACUCAUUUGAACCAAUCCUUAGAAAAUGUGUGCUACUGUGCAAUCGUAAAUAAUUCAACUGAAUAAAGAUUCCAACAUUUCGGCUGAUCUAUUCCAGUUGUUACUAUAGCCAUGAUUUGCAAAACAUAAACAAACAGCACAUAAUAGUACAAAAGAUGUGUGUCAUGGCUGCAAACAAAGGAUUAACCGUAUGAACAAAA